ensembl:lncRNA
GAAACACAGAGUGAGACCCUGCACCUCAGGCUGCACAGUUUCCCCCUUCAGUCACUCAUCUCCUGUGGGUUCCCCCUUCAGUCACUCAUCUCCUGUAGGUUCCCCCUUCAGUCGCCGAUCUCCUGUGGGUUCCCCCUUCAGUCACUCAUCUCCUGUAGGUUCCCCCUUCAGUCACUCAUCUCCUGUGGGUUCCGCCUUCAGUCGCCGAUCUCCUGUGGGUUCAAUCCUGUCACUCAGGACAGAACGAGGUCCAAAAAAUGACCUGUAAUUAUACAUCAUUACACACGACUCUGAUAUUUCACUGAAAGAUAAGUAAUAAGUAUUUCUAGAAGCUCACUUGAAGUGAAGCUAAACCUCUGGUCCUAAAUGUUACAAAUCUGAAGCUUAGGAGAACUCAACAGUCAGCUCACGUCCGUUUCCUGAGACGAUGAAGCUCUGUGAUCACGUUACAGAAGGAAAAAUGUUUGGUCGUUUUUCUCCUCGGAAAUGAGAAUUGCAGUGCAGACAGUUUAAAACCGCUGCAGUGGCUUUUUGUUUUGAACGGAACAGUUUUUCUUAGCCACAAACCUAUAUUCAUGACCCCGAAUGAUUUUUAAAAAAAAAAGAAAAAGAUGUCACCAGUCUUGUGAAAGAUAUUAUGAACAUCAAAGUCUUCAUUUUAAAACACUAAACACCAGUUUAACCGCAACCAAUGAGCUGCUAGAGAGACAUUUUCCACUGGCGUGGACCAAUCAGAUUACAGAACACACGAGCGCAUGAAAGAUCUUCAGCAGCACGAGCCGCUCAGCACCAGUGUCUGAGAUGGAGACAUCAAGAGUCGCUCUCAUCGCUCUCGUGUGUGUUGUGUUCUCCGGUCAGAAGAGGAUCUCUGGAGCAGAAGUGGAGACGAGAGUCAGACGAGGAGACGACGUCACUCUCUACUCCGACUGUGUUGUGAAAAGUGGAUUUUAUCCAGUGUGGUUCAGGAACUGCUCACAUCAGGAUCAACCUCGUCUGAUGAUCUCACAGUCAGAUGUGAUGCAUGAUGUUUUUCCACGUCACUCGUUUGUGUUUAAUGUCUCCACCAACGUACACGAUCUUCAGAUUAAGAAGGUCACAGAAUCAGAUCAGGGCGUGUACUACUGUGCUCUACAUGAGAUAAAGAUUGUAAUAGGAAAAGAUGGGAUUAUAAUGGACAGGGAUGUGUAUCACUAUGGAAACAGAAUGACUCGACUCGCUCUACUCGAAGAAGCUACUGUCUCUCCGAACACCCCGACCCCGUGUGUAUCAGAGUGGAGUGUUAGCUGGAAGCUGGUGUUGGGUGUGUGUGCUGUGUGUGUUCUCCUCUCCUCACUCCUCUCCUCCAUCUGUGUGUACUGCCUCUGCACAAACACCACUAAAGCAAAAGUGAAAGCAGAUCAGGCAGGAAGUGACAAAAGCAUGACUGGGAGACAUGACGAGGAUGGAGAAGACGAGGUCUGUUACGCCUCGCUGGACAUCCAGAACCCCGAGAAGAAGAGGAAGAGGAAGAGGAAGAAGAAAGUUCAGCACUCUGAUUUCAGCACGUAUUCAGAGGUCAGAACCGAGAGACCUGAGAGUCGUGAAGGAGGAGAUCAUGACGUCUGGAAGCCGUAUUAGAUCACAGCGUGUUCUUUUGACAAACUGCUUUUCACAUCCUUCGUGAGGAUUAUAAAGAGUGAAGUCAAUUUUAAAUGCUUGUGCUUCGUGUUUUUAUCGCUGAUGCCUGGUUCGUUGUUUUUUAAAUUCAUUAUAAAUAGCAAAAUUGGCCGAAUUGUUAAAACUAUUUAUAUUAAAAUACCUGAUGUGAAAAAAUAAAUGCACCGUAUUCACUGCUCA